rnacentral:rRNA from 1 species
UACGUAGGGGGCAAGCGUUGUCCGGAUUUAUUGGGCGUAAAGCGCGUGUAGGCGGCCAGGUAGGUCGGUUGUGAAAAUUGGAGGCUCAACCUCCAGACGUCGAUCGAAAUCAUCUGGCUAGAGUCCGGAAGAGGAGAAUGGAAUUCCUGGUGUAGCGGUGAAAUGCGCAGAUAUCAGGAAGAACACCCGUGGCUAAGGCGGCUCUCUAGUACGGUACUGACGCUGAGACGCGAAAGCGUGGGGAGCGAACAGG